UAUUUGCAAUAUAAUGCACCAAAAUCUUCAAAAACUUCGAUUGUUAAGAAAGUAUUUACUUUAAACGUUAAAUAAUCAACAAAGAAAGUGUACCUAAUGUGUACUUACCUUUCAAUGCAAGAAUCAAAGAAGAUAUGAAAUAAGAAAAAAAUUAUUACUUAAUAAUUUUUAAUGGUGACAUUAAUAUACAUUUUAUUGCUCGAACAACAACUGGCCUAAACUAGAAGAAAUAUUUUUCAACAAUAUGUAUGCAAAUUGAAAACUAUGUAGUAUUUUGAUUUAUUUAUAAAUAAAGUACUAUAAUAAAACUAAGAAGUUUAAUUUGUUGGUUACCGCGGGUCAUUACAAGCAUUGUGGACUAGGUACUGACCAUUAAAAAAAAAAAGGCUCGUCAUAAAAUUUCCAUAAAUAUGAUCCAAUUACUACAAUUAGUUUACUGUUUGAUGUGUCAGAACAAACAUAGAACAUUAACUGGUGAUAAACUUUAUUUGGAUUCAUCUAAAUUCUCAUUAUUGUCAAAACAAAAUCAAAUAGAAAGUCUUAUCACAAAAUGUAAAAGUGACUUUCCACAUGGAUUUCAUAAUUCAACAAUGUAUACCUACUCACAACAUUGAAUAUCACAUAAUAUCUUGACUGUUUGAAUAUUAACAUACAUGCACUACACCAGCUAUGCAAUCUAACUGUACCAAUAGAUAAAUUAAGUAUGAUUAAAUUAGUUAAAUUAUAAAAAACAUAUGUUAUAGGUGUUAUAAUUUUAAUAAUAAUACUAUACUGAGAAAAAUCUAAAAUUCUACAAAAUACUUAGCAAAGACAACUUUUUCUAAAUUUAACAAAAUGUGAGACUAAGGUCGUAGACUUCUAGCGUAUAAAGAUCUUUAUUUAGUUCUAUUUUUUUCAAAUUUAUCUAUAUCUUUGUCACAGAUGAGGUGGAUUAUAAGCAGGAAACUUUUUCAUUUUUUUUCUUAGAAGUAACGAUUAGAUUUGUUGAAUUACUAAAAGAUUUUAGAUUUUACACAAAUACUCUGCUUAUGCAAUCCGUUAAGUAAAUUCUAUUAUUUUUUGUAUAUUUAGUGAAUUUAGUCAGUAUUUCAGAAAAAAAAAUGAUUUUACUAAAUUUUUGUCUUAACAGCAAUCAUUAAUGUGCGCAAUUGCAUCCCUUGUUUCUUUCAAUAACUAAAAGAUAUAACUAAUUGAUAUUAGCUAUAUAGUUUUAAUAUAGUCAUUGAUCAUGAAUAUUAGUUGUUAAUGCUUAUGAACUGUUAAUUUUUAAUUAUUAAUAAUAUUGUUAUAUUACAAUGAAGGUUAAAUAAAAAAGUUGAUUUUUAAAUUAAACAUGUCUGUGCAUGCCUGUAACAAUAUUAUAUUUGAUGCAUCUUUUCGGAUUUAAUAUGUAAAAUGUAUGUUUAAUUAAUAUUAUUUAAUUAUUAAAUAAAAGUUAAACAGUAGGGCCCACAAAUAUCGAUAAAUGCAAGUUUAUUAAUGUUGCUGUUAAGAUACUUACCUUUUAGUACAUACCUACUAUAAGUAGGUAUCAAAAUAAAUAAAUUAUUAUUUAAUAAUUACCAUCGUAUUUUUAUUUAAAGGUUUUUUUUUUUAACAUUAUUAUUUUACGGCCAACAUUUAGGUUUUUGAUAAUGAAUAACCUCUCCUCUUUUUCUGUCUUGAGUAGGACACCUUGGUGUAUUCUUAAACAUACAAAAAAAUAUAAAACAUUAUUUAGUCAUGUACAUAAUAUUAUGUAGAAUGAAUUACAAUAAAUUAUUAAAUAUGGUAAAUAGUACAAAAAACAUUAAUAUUACUUUAUUAUUUUUAUCAUCCCAAUAAGCAAAUCUAGAUUUGGCUUUCCUUAUAAUGUAUUUAUCUUCCACAGUUUGUUCGCCAAUUUUGAUGCCAUUUAAAAUUUCCAAAAAUUUACUGUGCUUGGGACACCACCAUUCAGUACAAUUCUAAUAACAUACAAAUUAUAAAUAUGAUAUUAAAACUAUUUUAAAUAAAUACAUUACAUAAUUUGUUUUCAAUGUAUCAUCGAUGACAUUUAUCAGACUGCUUGUCUCAUCUUGUAAUUUCAAUCUAUCCAUCUUUGAGCAUACAAGUUUUUCUAUAAAAGAAACCUUGGAUUCAAUCGGCAGUAAAUCAUCUCUCUUAACAUAAUUAUUCAUAUUUUUAGCAGAUGAGAUUAAGCUAUGCACAUUUUGUUGUUCCUGAAAGUAAAUAAUUUUAAUUUAGGAAAAUGUGUUGGACAUGCUUUUUUAUUUACUAAAUUUAUUUUUACUUUUUUUUUUUCUUCGUAAUGUUCUGCCUUAUCUUUCACCUCAAUAGUGGCCAUUUUUUGUUUAAAUAAUUUCUACAAAAAUAACAGUUAACAAAUUUUAUUUAAAUAAUUUUGCUACUUUUACUUACAAUUUCUUUUUCUAAAGAAUCAUUUUUGGUUUUAAUUGCUGACUAUAAAAAAAAAAAACAAAAAAAUUGUAAUAUGUAAUUAAUAUUAUUUAUUAUUGUUAAGCAUUAUAAAUUUUUUUAAAUUCAAUAUAAAUUUUGUUACCAAUGUACUUACAUUGUCUUCUUCCAAAAUCUCAUUUUUUGUUUUAAGUAUAGCCUAUAUAAAAAAAAAAUGUGUUACUAUUAUUAUUUAUUAUUAUUAAGCAUGUUUUUUUUAUUUUUAAACAUACAUAUUUUUCUUUAUAUGACUUUUCUUGAAUUUUUAAUGUCACCUAAUAAUAUUAUGUAAUUGUUAAUAAAUUGUAUACUAACUAUGUAAUUUUUUUUUUUCAUUAUUUAUUAUUAGGGCAGUGAAGUUAUUGCAUUAAAAAACUCAACAAAUUGAUUGUAUUAUUGCACUAAAAUAUAUUAAAAAUUGCACUUAAGGAAAAAAAAUAGCAUUUAUUUCAAUAAAAACAUAAAAUCAUAGCUAACUGAAACAUAUUUUAAGCUCACUUAGCAAUGAAUAUAAUAUUAAGUAUCUACAAAAAAAUAUGAAAAUGCAACAACUCCACUGCUUUAAUAAUUUGGUCACUUACAAGUUCUUCAGUGAGUGACUUAUUAUCAGUUUGAAGCUGUAUCACAUCUUCAGCAUAGUAACUGCUUUCAACUUUUUUAUUGUUAAAUUGCUCGUUUAAAUUAUGGUAUUGCUGUAAAUGUGUGUAUUGUUGUUUCUUAUUAUUAUUUUCAGAAUAUAAAUAAAAUUGAUGUAUAUAUUAA